GUGAAAAGCUGAGUCAUAGAGAAUUUAAAUAACUUUCCUGGCUUCUACUUCUGGCCAAACUGGAGUAACAGGGAUCAGAUUUACUCUCCUUCCUGAAACAACUGAGAAACAAAACAGUUCCGCAAACACUGGAUGUCAGUCAACAAAGGAUAGUGGUCCCGGGGAGACAGGAAACACAAAUGAGGGUCAGUUUGGACAGUGGCUCCUGGAAUCCAAAGUUGGAUCAUUGAGUCUCCAAACCAUGGGAUGUGUGAAUUACCAGAGCCCUUAGAGUUCACUGUGGGAGACUGUAUAUGGCUGCACGUUCUUUGACAGUCGUUCUAUUAGGAGAACAACUCUUGGCCCAAGCUGCCCCACAUGAAGCAGGAUGAAGCCCCCGCCAAGCGCCCCAGAUGAUUUCCUAGCCGACAGCCAGCACCAACUUGCCAAGCAUAGAAAGUUUACCAACCCCUCAUCUAGUGUAUUAGAGGCCCAAGGAGAAGAAGGCACUGGUCAAAGCUUACACACAAGUUCGGAGCACAAUCAAGACAAAACUCAGGACUCUCUAAUUCCAGCCCUGUGCUAUUCUACUAACACUUAUUAAGCACCUACUGUAUACUAGACUUCGAAUUACUAAUGUCAAUCUGAUAGGGUUCACAGCUGCUCCCUAAAGGCAUAUAACCAGUGGGAAAGACAGAUGGGUAAAGACAUAAUCAUCUAGGAAAUGUGUGGUAGAAGUGAGCACAGCACAUGAGAGACGGCAGAGGAAGCACCUUUCAGUCCUGCUCUGGUGGCAGGGAAGAGCUCCUGCGUGCCUUUCCAGCAUCUGGCCCCCUUCCUUCUAAUAAUGGCACCUGAAUUUUCCCUUAGGAAGCCAUUGCCAUCCUGUCUGUUCUUGUGGUUUGAGGGGGGCCACCUUUUGGCUCCAGACCCGGAUACCGUACUUUGUUCUUGGGUGUCCGAUUAUAUGCCUGCAAAUGAGAUUCCAUCCUCAGACUAUGGCUGGAUCUUCUAGGAUGGAAAGGAAUUCUUUUCCUGGAGUAGCUGAGUUGGUAGCUCAUCACCUUAGAGCUAUUGUUCACUGUCUGUGCCAGCACCUCGGGAGGGGCCCGGUCAACACUGAAGCUGUCAUAGAGGAAAGCAGAACCAGGAGCUGGAGAAAGAUUCCUUAUGACUUUGAAUCAGAUAUAACUCUGAGCUCUUCCGUUAGUGCUAAUAAACUUCCUUUAUUCUUAAACCACAU